AUUUGGAAGCUUUUGAGCUUUUAGUGCUGUUUCUAUAGAAACAACCAUUUCUGCUUAUAGCCCAUAUCAUCCUUUUUUUCAUUUUGAUGGUAAAGUUCCAUCCUUUUCGUUCUUUUGAGGAGAUCAAGACGAAAAGGUUGAGUCUUGGAAACUUUUUGCUUGAAAUUUAUUUGUAAAAUUUGGGUUCUUUUGUAUACUGGUUGUUGAGUAUGAGGAAAUAUGCCAAUUCUUAUUCAGGAAGAGUGUUUAAUGAUAAA
rnacentral:misc_RNA from 1 species